rnacentral:rRNA from 1 species
GAUGAACGCUGACAGAAUGCUUAACACAUGCAAGUCUUUGGCGAAGCUGUGCUUGCACAGCCUAGCCAAGGCGGACGGGUGAGUAACGCGUAAGGAACUUGCCCUGCAGUCAGGGAUAACAGACGGAAACGACUGAUAAGACCUGGUAAAGUCAGGCGGACUCAUGUCCAGCCUGAUGAAAAGAGAUGCUGCAGGAGAGCCUUGCGUCCUAUUAGCUUGUUGGUGGGGUAACGGCCCACCAAGGCGAUGAUAGGUAGCCGGCCUGAGAGGGUGGACGGCCACAAGGGGACUGAGAUACGGCCCUUACUCCUACGGGAGGCAGCAGUGGGGAAUAUUGGACAAUGGGGGCAACCCUGAUCCAGCAAUUCGGUGUGCACGAUGAAGGUUUUCGGAUUGUAAAGUGCUUUCAGCAGGGAAGAAAAAAAUGACGGAACCUGCAGAAGAAGCGACGGCUAAAUACGU